rnacentral:rRNA from 1 species
UACGUAGGUGACCAGCGUUGUCCGGAUUUACUGGGCGUAAAGAGCGCGCAGGCGGUCGUUCAAGUCGAGUGUGAAAGCCCCCGGCUCAACUGGGGAGGGUCACUCGAUACUGAUCGACUUGAAGGCAGGAGAGGGAAGCGGAAUUCCCGGUGUAGUGGUGAAAUGCGUAGAUAUCGGGAGGAACACCAAUUGCGAAGGCAGCUCGCUGGGACGUUACUGACGCUGAGACGCGAAAGCGUGGGGAGCAAACAGGG